GACGAACCGUGCGAACGUUGUUCGGAAUCACUGGGCUUAAAGGGCGCGUAGGCGGGCAGUCAAGUCAAGGGUGAAAUCCUGCGGCUCAACCGUAGAAGAGCCCCUGAUACUGGCUGUCUCGAGGGAGGUAGGGGCGUGUGGAACUUCCGGUGGAGCGGUGAAAUGCGUAGAGAUCGGCAGGAACACCCAGGGGGAAACCAGUCGACUGGGCAUCUACUGACGCUGAGGUGCGAGAGCGUGGGGAGCGAACCGG
rnacentral:rRNA from 1 species